rnacentral:rRNA from 1 species
UACGUAGGGGCCUAGCGUUGUCCGGAUUUAUUGGGCGUAAAGGGUGCGUAGGCGGUCGGGUAAGUCUGACGUGAAAUCUCCAAGCUCAACUUGGAAAUGGCGUCGGAUACUAUUCGGCUGGAGGAAUGGAGGGGAGACUGGAAUUCUCGGUGUAGCAGUGAAAUGCGUAGAUAUCGAGAGGAACACCAGUGGCGAAGGCGAGUCUCUGGACAUUUCCUGACGCUGAGGCACGAAAGCCAGGGGAGCAAACGGG